rnacentral:rRNA from 1 species
UAUGUGAUCGUCUCUCGCAUAUCAAUAAGCGGAGGAAAAGAGGGCUAUUACCUACGCUUAGGAUGUUGACACACGCGCGUGCUCGAUGAUAGUCUAUACAUGACUCUGUGCAUAUCAAUAAGCGGAGGAAAAGGCUGCGGAACUGAACGACCGCUACCUACGCUUAGGAUGUUGACACACGCGCGUGCUCGAUGAUAGUCUAUACAUGACUCUGUGCAUAUCAAUAAGCGGAGGAAAAGAAACUAACAAGGAUUCCCCUAGUAACGGCGAGUGAAGCGGGAAGAGCUCAAAUUUGAAAUCUUAAAGGGUUUCCCUUUACGAAUUGUAGUUUAAAGAAGUGUUUUCUGUUGAGGUUUUGGUAAAAGUUCUUUGGAAUAGGACAUCAUAGAGGGUGAGAAUCCCGUAUUUGACCUUUACUUUCAACUUUGUGAUACACUUUCAAAGAGUCGGAUUGUUUGGGAAUGCAGUCCAAAAUGGGUGGUAAAUUUCAUCUAAAGCUAAAUAUUGGCGAGAGACCGAUAGCGAACAAGUACCGUGAGGGAAAGAUGAAAAGAACUUUGAAAAGAGAGUUAAACAGUACGUGAAAUUGUCAAAAGGGAAGCGUUUGACACCAGUGUUGUUUUUCUGAAAAUCAAUUAAAGAACUGUUUAUGCUAAGUUGUUUAGACUUUAUCAGCUAACUGUUUAGUUUUGAGCUUUUCUUUAAUGCACUUUUCAGUUAACAAGUCAACAUCAAUCUCUUUUGCUGUAAAAAAGCUUGAGGAAGGUGGCUUGAGAUUCGUCUUAAGUGUUUAUAGCCUCUUGCCUAUGCAGUCGGAGAGAUUGAGGUCUGCAGCGUAGAUCCUUCGGGGCUAAAUGCAUUUGUGCUAAGUUAUAGCAUUUUAUAGACAACUUGUUGACUAUGAUUUGUCUUGUAGCUUACUCGCUUAUGUUAUUUUACCUACGCUUAGGAUGUUGACACACGCGCGUGCUCG